rnacentral:lncRNA from 1 species
UGAGUUCAGCAUAGAGCAUAUAGAUUAAGGAUAUACCAAAAGCAAGGUAUAGUUGUUCCCAAGAUAACUGACCUACAACUUUACUACAAAGCAUAAAGGCAAAAAGUGUACCAAAAGCAAGGGAUGGUGCUUGCUCAGAACAACUGAUUUGAACUCUAUUGCAUCAAGUUCAGUACAAAGUGUAAAGAAAUAUGGCCAAGUAGUUCAUAAACAUAAUGAGAUACGACAAUUGGGAACAAAGCUCUAGAAAUAUAGACAAUAAUAAGCCAUUUGUCUUUGUUAAUGAAAGAACAUCUAUGUUAGCUUAUAGUUGACCAUUACUGAGUACUCCUACUUCCUCCUUCCAAGUGAAAAGGGUAUAUUCUGAGGCGAAUCUAAUGCAAAUAGUAGUGGCCAAUACUUGAGCGACUUUAUCUUGCUAAUGAUAAUAUGGAAUAUCUGCAAAAUAACAGAAUUAGCUGAUGAACCUAGGCACUAUGCAAGCUAUACAAAAUUCAUAAAUGGCAUACUGAGAUUGAACGCAAAUUAGUAACAUUGUGCCAGUAGAGUAAAGUGCAGAAGAUGGUACUUCACAAUUGAGAGAUCCAAAUGAAUAUUGCAACAGAACAAAGACGGUGCCUGCAAGAAACAAUGAUGUAGGUGAGAGUAACAUAUCAGUAACUUGAUACUUCGGCAGCAAAAACGGGUGAUAUAAAUCGUGUCCAUCCAAAGGAAAUUACAAUACUGUGACAGGACCAAUGAGUUUAGUAUAGAUAACAAAGAGCAUAGAUAUAUUAAAAGCAAAGAAAUUAAGUAUAUUCAAUCAAUGAUAUAAUUAAUUUGCAGGCUGAUGACAAAAUUUGUUACAAAAUCCAAAGCGGUAGUGCCAUGAAAAACUGGUUCGCAUCAAGUUCAAUCAAAUCAUAAAUAUUCAAGAUAUCAAAGUUGGAAUGUUAAUCUCCAAAUUCCAGAACCAUACAUCAUCGACAACAUUAUAGACCGGUAGUGUGCCUUGGUGCACCUGUUACGUCCAUCCCAUUGGUCUAGCGUGUCAAACCCAAUACGAUGCCAAAUACAAAACAAAAAAGUUUGUAUAGCAUGACCAGACGAAAGGAGAGUAGAUGCCCUUUACGGAAUUUUUUUUGCAUAUUUAAUCACUCAACAAACCAGCAUAUAGAUCCUUGGUUGCCAUGUUUUUUAACACAAUUGAGCCCAGAACCAAAGAAAAACUGGUGGAAGGAAUCUGAAGAGGGCCAUUGGGCCAGGUUAGAAAUGGUAGACAACUGACCAUCAGGAAAGCAAAUAGAAAAACAAUAAUAAUAAGUUAUUUCAAGAUAAAAGUCCCGAUUUAUGUUGUUUGGACAUAUAGACAUGUGUAAUAGUUUUCCCUUUUCUCUCUUGACUCUCUUAAAAAGCUUGUGCAUUCAUAUAGUUAUAAGCCUAACUGAAUUAAUAUGCUAGUUAGAAAUUGGAUCAACGACACGCUGAAAUCAAAACAGGAAUAAAUCAUCCUAAGCAAGCACAAAACAAAUGAUCAUAUCAGGGCUUUGCCAACAUAUAACUAAGCAGACUGACCAGAAAAAGGAUAAUCAAAUUAGGGUAUGCUGACCAACAACCUUAAAUAGCGGCCAACCCAAAAUUAACAUAGAGUUGUGAGGCUAACCAUAAGAAAGAUUAGCUUUUCGUCGAAAACACAAACACAAGCACCCUGGCAAUAAAGAGAUUACACAAAUAUAUUACAAUGCAGGUUUGGCAUAACCAGCACAUACCAAGCAACAGUUCACCACUAUAACAUCAGUUUAAACUACUCGGCUCUCGGUGAAGCAUGGGAACAUUUAGAAACCCUAACACCCUAAGCAACAAAUGCAGAGAGCUCUCGAGCGAACACAAUUCAAUGUCAUUUCAAACUACAGGGGUCCCCAAGCACCACACUAUAUGCACUGCCACAACACUCAAAAAAUCUGAAUAAAGGUAUGCUCAUAGCCAUCAUGGGGUUGUUAAUUAGGGCACCACUAAUCUAUUCGAGAGAACAAUGUGCAUAGAUAAUUGUGAAGAAUUUAAGAUGUCCAGAAUGAAACCCACAUCUAUUAGAGAUGAACCUGCAUCAGUGGCUCGAGUAGCAGGUUGCGCCUCCUGGUGAAGAAGUGUCAGACAUGAGAACAACAAAGGAGGCCAAAAGCAUCACGGCUAUUUCUGAUGUUGACCUUCAAAAUUUCUGAGUGCUCAAUUCCAAAUCAAUUUUGAACUAACACGG